UCCAGACUCCUACGGGAGGCAGCAGUGGGGGAUAUUGCACAAUGGGGGAAACCCUGAUGCAGCGACGCCGCGUGGGCGAAGAAGUAUUUCGGUAUGUAAGGCCCUAUCAGCAGGGAAGAAGAAAUGACGGUACCUGAGUAAGAAGCCCCGGCUAACUACGUGCCAGCAGCCGCGGUAAUACGUAGGGGGCAAGCGUUAUCCGGAUUUACUGGGUGUAAAGGGAGCGUAGGCGGCCUUGCAAGUCUGAUGUGAAAGGCCGGGGCCCAACCCCGGGACUGCAUUGGAAACUGCGAGGCUGGAGUGUCGGAGAGGCAGGCGGAAUUCCUAGUGUAGCGGUGAAAUGCGUAGAUAUUAGGAGGAACACCAGUGGCGAAGGCGGCCUGCUGGACGAUGACUGACGCUGAGGCUCGAAAGCGUGGGGAGCAAACAGGAUUAGAUACCCCCGUAUC
rnacentral:rRNA from 1 species